UAAGUUUCCCAUCUCUACUUUAUUGAUAAAUAUGUUUGCGUUAUGCCCUAGGUAUGAAUAUAAUGAUUAAAUUGAUUGGAAAAAAAUAGAUAAGAGCGAAGCAAUGUAAAAAGUUUUGUCAACAUGAUUACACAUUAUUGAAGUUGAUACUAAGAACAAAAGAGACAUGCUGUUGUUGUUGAUACAUUGUAAAGAGCACCGGAUGGAACAGUAUGCAAUCACUAUUCGAGAUCAUCAGCUUCACCAUCGUCGCUUGGAGGAUCUAAAUCCGCAUCGAAAUGAUCCAGCUCCUGGUUCUUCUUCUGUCUUCCACGCUUUGGAGCAACUAAAUUUUUAAGUCAACCAGCUUUUCAUGUGACAGAGCCUCUUCUGGUUCAUUCGCAAUAGGAUUGAGUACCGGCAAAGAAAGACUUUUAUUCCGAAAAAUGUUCGUAUCGCCCAUUACAAAAACGUCAUAGUCAUCGACUUGCACGUUCGUUUUGUAGUACACAUGUCCUGGAGAAGUACUACGAUACUCAAACAGGAAGAUGUCUUUGAACUUCAAUGGUUUGCCGUUCAUGUUUUGUUUUGGCCGAUGAUAACGUUGGUAAAGGGAUUUUAGUCCCAGGAAUUGCGACUGCUCGAGUUCGACAACUUCGAAGGGAACUUUUCGCUUAAUUUGUGAAAUAAAUACGGCCCAAUCUCUUGGCGUUUCUA